AUGAACGCUGGCGGCGUGCCUAAUACACGCAAGUCGAGCGAACGGACGAGAAGCUUGCUUCUCUGAUGUUAGCGGCGGACGGGUGAGUAACACGUGGAUAACCUACCUAUAAGACUGGGAUAACUUCGGGAAACCGGAGCUAAUACCGGAUAAUAUUUUGAACCGCAUGGUUCAAAAGUGAAAGACGGUCUUGCUGUCACUUAUAGAUGGAUCCGCGCUGCAUUAGCUAGUUGGUAAGGUAACGGCUUACCAAGGCAACGAUGCAUAGCCGACCUGAGAGGGUGAUCGGCCACACUGGAACUGAGACACGGUCCAGACUCCUACGGGAGGCAGCAGUAGGGAAUCUUCCGCAAUGGGCGAAAGCCUGACGGAGCAACGCCGCGUGAGUGAUGAAGGUCUUCGGAUCGUAAAACUCUGUUAUUAGGGAAGAACAUAUGUGUAAGUAACUGUGCACAUCUUGACGGUACCUAAUCAGAAAGCCACGGCUAACUACGUG
rnacentral:rRNA from 1 species